UAGCUCAGUCGGUAGAGCAGUUGAUUUUUAAUCAAUGGGUCGCAGGUUCGAGCCGAGCG
rnacentral:tRNA from 1 species